UGCGUAACGCGUAUAGAACCUACCUUUUACAGAGGAAUAGCCUUUAGAAAUGAAGAUUAAUGCCUCAUAGUAUUGUAGACUGGCAUCAGUUUAUAAUUAAAGAUUUAUCGGUAAAAGAUGGCUAUGCGUCCUAUUAGUUAGUUGGUAAGGUAACGGCUUACCAAGACAGCGAUAGGUAGGGGUCCUGAGAGGGAGAUCCCCCACACUGGUACUGAGACACGGACCAGACUCCUACGGGAGGCAGCAGUGAGGAAUAUUGGACAAUGGAGGAGACUCUGAUCCAGCCAUGCCGCGUGUAGGAAGAAUGCCCUAUGGGUUGUAAACUACUUUUAUACAGGAAGAAACACUGGUAUGUAUA
rnacentral:rRNA from 1 species